rnacentral:lncRNA from 1 species
CUCUCUCUCUCUCCGAAUCAUCUCUCUUCGCUCUCUCUCUCUAUGUCCUCUCUCUCUCUGCGACCUCAUGCAAAUAUGGGUUUUUUCAACUUCCCCUCUCUCUCUCUCUUUCUCUCUAUAUCUAAGUCAUGCCUCACUCUUCGUGCCCUUGGUUUCCUUCUUCUCUCCUCUCUCUUUCUCUCUUCGAUUUAAGGAUUCGAUGAUCCAGACGCAACUCUUUACUUCCCUUUCUCUCUUUCUAG